CCUAGCCCCUAGCCUAAACACCUAUCAUACCCUUUUGAGGAAGCAAUAUGCAUAAGAAAAAUGAAGAGAGGAUGUAGAACUCAAGAAAGAGUGCAAGUGUGCAAUUGAAAUCAAAGAAAAAUUUGCCUUUCCAACCCAGCAAAAGCAAUGAGUUUGGGGGAGAGGACAAAAGGGACAUAAAAAGAAAGAAAAAAAAAGAGAAAAGAAAAGAAGUCCCAAGAUAAGUAUCAUGGAAGCAUGCUUGGCACUAUAAAAAAACUAAAAGCCCUUCCUCUCCAUACAAAAUUAAUAGAAUAAACUUAGUAUACUUGGUAU
rnacentral:misc_RNA from 1 species